ACUGAGACACGGCCCAAACUCCUACGGGAGGCAGCAGUAGGGAAUCUUCCACAAUGGGCGAAAGCCUGAUGGAGCAACGCCGCGUGGGUGAAGAAGGUCUUCGGAUCGUAAAACCCUGUUGUUAGAGAAGAAAGUGCGUGAGAGUAACUGUUCACGUUUCGACGGUAUCUAACCAGAAAGCCACGGCUAACUACGUGCCAGCAGCCGCGGUAAUACGUAGGUGGCAAGCGUUAUCCGGAUUUAUUGGGCGUAAAGGGAACGCAGGCGGUCUUUUAAGUCUGAUGUGAAAGCCUUCGGCUUAACCGGAGUAGUGCAUUGGAAACUGGGAGACUUGAGUGCAGAAGAGGAGAGUGGAACUCCAUGUGUAGCGGUGAAAUGCGUAGAUAUAUGGAAGAACACCAGUGGCGGAAGCGGCUCUCUGGUCUGUAACUGACGCUGAGGUUCGAAAGCGUGGGUAGCAAACAGGAUUAGAUACCCUGGUAGUCCACGCCGUAAACGAUGAAUGCUAAGUGUUGGAGGGUUUCCGCCCUUCA
rnacentral:rRNA from 1 species